GUCAGUUUUUGCAUGAGCUGCAGAUUUGUAUAACUUCAUUUGUAUUUCUUCUUACCAGUUUUAACCAUUACGAGUCAGUGAGACAAGAGAGGCAGACAGACUGAUGUAAAAGCCCAAACCACAUUUGGGCUUUAAAAGUCUUGAUCCAAUCUACAGGGAAUUGUGUAACCCUACUGUACAGUGUUUUGGAUGAACAUUUUCUUAUGAAGACCAUUAUUAAAUUGAAUACAAUAUUAUUGAAAGAUACUGUUUUAAGUUUUAUAUACUGACCAUAAUGAAAUUCAACAUUGAACCCAACCAGAAAGACACUAUAUUACAAAUGGCGCCCAACGGGGGACAAGAUAAUUGCGUGCUUCACGUUCAAGUUUGGAGGAUCAUUUUUUAUUU